CUAAUUCAGUGUUCAUGGCGAUAUGGUUUGGCUGUGUCCCCACUGAAUCUCAUCUUGAAUUGUAGGUCCCAUAAUCCCCAUGUGUUGUGGGAGGGACAAGGUGGAGAUAAUUGAAUCAUGGGUGCAGUUUAUCCCAUCCUGUUCUCGUGAUAGUGUGUUAGUUCUCAUGAGAUCUGAUGGUUUAAUAAGGGGCUUCCUCCUUCACUGGGCACUCAUUCUUCUCCUUCCUGCUGACAUGUGAAGAAGAACAUGUUUGCUUCCCCUUCUGCCAUAAUUGUACAUUUCUUGAGGCCUCCCCAGCCCUGCAGAACUGCUCACAGGAAGAAGGGCCCAGAUGAGACUUUGGGCUUGGACUUUUGAGUUAAUGCUGGAAUGAGGGGGCUUCCCCCUUUGCUGGGCACUCAUUCUUCUCCUUCCUGCUGCCAUGUGAAGAAGGAUGUGUUUGCUUCUCCCUCUGCCAUGAUUGUAAGUUUCCUGAGGCAUUCCCAGCCCUGCAGAACUGUCACACGGAUGAAACAUGGAGGGACCAGAAUGUGAAUCCUGAUCUGUUUCCACUCUCAUUCACUACAACAGGCUUGAGGUGCUGCUGCUGAGCCGGGAGAAUAGAAGCGUCCAAGUCAGUGCCUUCAGAGAUCCAGCUGACUUCAAGAGGGCUGAGGUCCACCCAGGGCCACCAGCAUCAGGAAGGAGACAGCUUUGCAGUGACUCCACCCGCUAUGUGCUGGGAGGCAUUGGCUGACUCCAAAGCACACAGCAAUUUCGGCUUGGCCCACGGCAGCAAACAGCUGUGCCAAUGCCCAUCCUAACGAGAAUAACGCAAGGCUUAGCCUGUAAUCCACCCCUCUGCAGAAACCAAUCAUUCCUCCUCAUUACCGAGCGAAGAAAUGCCUCUCAAGGCUCCUUUUCCUCCUUACAAACAAAAUAAAACAAAUCCUUCCUAUGGAUUUCAUUUGCCAUUUAAUGCAACCUAAUGAUUUCCAAUUGAAACCAUAUUUGUAUUUGUAUUGACUUAUUAAUAGCACAUCCAUUUUCCACACAAUAAAGCCUGAACAUACACUGAGGACUUUGACCAAAAUGCAUUAGGUAGCAUUAAAGAUUAAAUAAACACUGUUUCUAUGAAUAAUGUUUAAUGUCACCUAUUAGUCCAUUGAAAAUUGAUCUCUGGGUACUUCAAGCUGGGGUUCCAAGGAGUACAUUUUGAACAUAUUAUGAGUAAUGACUAUGCAUUAGGACAUGAAAUGGAUUCCAGGCCCUCAGUAGAGCUUGCUACUUUACUAUAUUCUGGUUAAUUUGCACAAAUAGUUGCAAUGUCAAUGGCAAAACCCAAGCACCAAACUGCAAUACAUGCCUGAUUCCGAAAAGCAACAUAGAAAUGGCUUAAAAGAAAAAUGAGAAACAUGUUUUGUUUUUUUUUCCCUUCCUCUGAGAACAGUGGUAGUAUUUGCUUACUUUCAUGUUUAUUGAUCUUUGAUGUUUCUCCUUAAAUUUUGGUAGACUGUGUUCCACACUAGAGUUCAGACAUGAUUUCCUAGCCGGACGCGGUGGCUCACGCCUGUAAUCCCAGCACUUUGGGAGGCCGAGGCGGGCGGAUCACGAGGUCAGGAGAUCGAGACCAUCUGGGUUAACACGGUGAAACCCCGUCUCUACUAAAAAUACAAAAAAAUUAGCCAGGCACAGUGGCAGGUGCCUGUAGUCCCAGCUACUCGGGAGGCUGAGGCAGGAGAAUGGCGUGAACCCAGGAGGCAGAGCUUGCAGUGAGUGGAGAUCGUGCCACUGCACUCCAGCCUGGGUGAUAAAGUGAGACUCUGUCUCAAAAAAAAAAAAAAAAAAAAAAAAUGAGUUCCCUUCUGCUCUGCCACAAGCUAAGGUGUGAGCUCCUCUCAGCUCUCUCCACUUAAAAAAGGAAAUCGUUGGGACACAGGCUCUGAAAGCUCUGGCAUUUCCUGACUCUGUGAUUUCACCAGAUAUAAAUCCCAUAAGGAAAAAGAUGGUGUCCUCUUUGACUUUGUGUCCCAAUUGCCCCAGCACAGUAUCAGACACCCAAAAAAGGCCUGGGUAAGAGGAAGGCUAGACUUUCAGAAAUGUGUUGAGAAGUCAGAUGUUCCUGGUAGACACGGCUUCAUUAGGCCAAGAGUCAUCAUUAUAAUGAUAACAAUUACUGUUUAUUGAGUACCUUCUAUGAGCAGGCGAG
rnacentral:lncRNA from 1 species